rnacentral:piRNA from 1 species
UAAAAGACCUUCCCCAGACCCCUUCCA